GACGAACGCUGGCGGCGUGCUUAACACAUGCAAGUCGAACGGAAAGGCCCUGCUUUUGUGGGGUGCUCGCGUGGCGAACGGGUGAGUAACCCGUGAGUCACCUGCCCUUGACUUUGUGAUAUCUUCAGGCAACUGGGGCUACUACCGGCUAGGAGCUCCUGCUGCAUGGUGGGGGUUGGAAAGUUUCGGCGGUUGGGGAUGGACUCGCGGCUUAUUAGCUUGUUGGGGGGGUAGUGGCUUACCAAGGCUUUGACGGGUAGCCGGCCUGGGUGGUGGGCCGGCGACAUGGGGACUGAGAGACGGCCCAGACGCGUACGGGAGGCAGCAGGGGGGAAUAUUGCACAAUGGGCGGAAGCGUGAUGCAGCAACGCCGCGUGCGGGAUGACGGCCUUCGGGUUGUAAACCGCUUUCGCCUGUGACGAAGCGGGAGUGACGGUAAUGGGUAAAGAAGCACCGGCUAACUACGUG
rnacentral:rRNA from 1 species